rnacentral:rRNA from 1 species
CCUACGGGGGGCUGCAGUGAGGAAUAUUGGUCAAUGGGCGGAAGCCUGAACCAGCCAAGUAGCGUGCAGGAUGACGGCCCUAUGGGUUGUAAACUGCUUUUAUGCGGGGAUAAAGGGGCCCACGUGUGGGUUUUUGCAGGUACCGCAUGAAUAAGGACCGGCUAAUUCCGUGCCAGCAGCCGCGGUAAUACGGAAGGUCCGGGCGUUAUCCGGAUUUAUUGGGUUUAAAGGGAGCGUAGGCCGCCCCUUAAGCGUGUUGUGAAAUGCGGGUGCUCAACAUCCGACUUGCAGCGCGAACUGGGGGGCUUGAGUGCGCCGAAAGUAGGCGGAAUUCGUGGUGUAGCGGUGAAAUGCUUAGAUAUCACGAAGAACUCCGAUUGCGAAGGCAGCUUACUGUAGCGCAACUGACGCUGAUGCUCGAAAGCGUGGGUAUCGAACAGGAUUAGAUACCCGGGUAGUC